rnacentral:pre_miRNA from 1 species
AGGGUGUGUGACUGGUUGAUCAGAGGGCCAUAUGCUCUGCUCACCCUGUGGGCUAUCUAGUCAUGAACCC